GUGAGGAAUAUUGGUCAAUGGACGCAAGUCUGAACCAGCCAAGUAGCGUGCAGGAAGACGGCCCUCUGGGUUGUAAACUGCUUUUAGUUGGGAAUAAAGUGCAUCACGUGUGAUGUUUUGUAUGUACCAUCAGAAAAAGGACCGGCUAAUUCCGUGCCAGCAGCCGCGGUAAUACGGAAGGUUCAGGCGUUAUCCGGAUUUAUUGGGUUUAAAGGGAGCGCAGGCGGACCUUUAAGUCAGCUGUGAAAUACGGCGGCUCAACCGUCGAACUGCAGUUGAUACUGGAGGUCUUGAGUGCACACAGGGAUACUGGAAUUCAUGGUGUAGCGGUGAAAUGCUCAGAUAUCAUGAAGAACUCCGAUCGCGAAGGCAGGUAUCCGGGGUGCAACUGACGCUGAGGCUCGAAAGUGCGGGUAUCAAACAGGAUUAGAAACCCCAGUAGUCC
rnacentral:rRNA from 1 species